UUGACCUCAAAUCAGGUAGGACUACCCGCUGAACUUAAGCAUAUCAAUAAGCGGAGGAAAAGAAACUAACAAGGAUUCCCCUAGUAACUGCGAGUGAAGAGGGAAAAGCUCAAAUUUAAAAUCUGGCAGCUUCGCUGUCCGAGUUG
rnacentral:rRNA from 1 species